UACGUAGGGGGCAAGCGUUGUCCGGAUUUAUUGGGCGUAAAGAGCGUGUAGGCGGCCAUACAGGUCAGCUGUGAAAACUCGAGGCUCAACCUCGAGACGUCGGUUGAAACCGUAUGGCUAGAGUCCGGAAGAGGAGAGUGGAAUUCCCGGGUGUAGCGGUGGAGUGCGUAGAGAUCGGGGAAGAACAUCAGUGGCGAAGGCGGCCUGCUGGGCUGUUGCUGACGCCUGAGGCGCGGACAGCGUGGGGGAGCAAACACGG
rnacentral:rRNA from 1 species